rnacentral:ribozyme from 9 species
AUUUUCUUUUUUUUUUUUUUUCUUUUUUUUCUUUUCCAGCAACUCGACUAUUUCUUACGAGAGGAAG